AGGGGGAUGACGUCAAGUCCUCAUGGCCCUUAUGUCCAGGGCUACACACGUGCUACAAUGGCCGGUACAAAGGGCUGCAAUACCGCAAGGUGGAGCGAACCCCAAAAAGCCGGUCUCAGUUCGGAUUGGAGUCUGCAACUCGACUCCAUGAAGUUGGAAUCGCUAGUAAUCGCGGAUCAGCAUGCCGCGGUGAAUACGUUCCCGGGCCUU
rnacentral:rRNA from 1 species